rnacentral:lncRNA from 1 species
ACAAAAAAAAAAAGAAAACCUAGAAACAGAUAAACUAAAGAACAGAGAAAUAUCCAAAUAUCCCGAAACUUAAGAACCCUCAUCGCAUGGAUUUUCACCUCUGCAAUAUUCACAAACCCUAAAAUGUGAAGGGAGGAGGAAGAGGUCGGAGGAGAAAAAACUCAAAAAGGCGUACUCGAAAAUGGGGAAAAGCGUGGAAUUUUUGGUGUGCGCCUUUUUCAGCGUAGUUUGGAAUAAUCCAAUAAUUCCCAACGGGCAAUGAUGGCAGUACCCGAACCCGCAAAUAAUAACUUGACCCGAUGAAGAGCGGGUUUUGAUUGGGGCGGGCUAUUCACAAAAUGUGAAGGGAGGAGGAAGAGGUCGGAGGAGAAAAAACUCAAAAAGGCGUACUCGAAAAUGGGGAAAAGCGUGGAAUUUUUGGUGUGCGCCUUUUUCAGCGUAGUUUGGAAUAAUCCAAUAAUUCCCAACUCCCAACGGGCACCGGCCCGGGAUCGACCCCCGAGAGUGCCGGUGAUAGUGGCAGUGAGGGUGACAGUGAU